GGGGGGUGGCACCGAAGAGAAAAAGGUUGGGUAAUCAAAAUUUUGAGUAAGUAAAAGGUUGGGUAAAUGAAAAACAAAACAACUCAAGGGUUGGGUAAUAAAAAUUUAUUGUCAUUUCCAAAGCAUGACUCACUCAAAUAUUGAAGACUAAAAAGCAAUGUCAACAGUCAUAUGUCAAUACAAUAUGUAAAUCAAUCAGAGUCACUAUCUUGAUCAUUUUCUGAUUUGUCAGGAGGCAAAUGGUGUCUCCAAAGAAAGUACAUGUGCAGACAACAUGAAACUUUAGACUGCAGAAAAUUGCACAAGCAGUUAUCAAACUCAUGUCACAGAAGUGGUAAAGGACAUGUGUGACAACUGAAUGGUAUCCUUUUGUAAAGUUUUUGGCCAGGGGUGGGUAUUUAU
rnacentral:lncRNA from 1 species